rnacentral:rRNA from 1 species
AACGAACGCUGGCGGCAUGCCUAACACAUGCAAGUCGAACGAACUCUUCGGAGUUAGUGGCGCACGGGUGCGUAACGCGUGGGAAUCUGCCCUUGGGUACGGAAUAACUCAGAGAAAUUUGUGCUAAUACCGUAUAAUGACUUCGGUCCAAAGAUUUAUCGCCCAAGGAUGAGCCCGCGUAAGAUUAGCUAGUUGGUGGGGUAAAAGCCUACCAAGGCGACGAUCUUUAGCUGGUCUGAGAGGAUGAUCAGCCACACUGGGACUGAGACACGGCCCAGACUCCUACGGGAGGCAGCAGUGGGGAAUAUUGGACAAUGGGCGAAAGCCUGAUCCAGCAAUGCCGCGUGAGUGAUGAAGGCCUUAGGGUUGUAAAGCUCUUUUGCCAGGGAAGAUGAUGACUGUACCUGGAGAAUAAGCCCCGGCUAACUUCGUGCCAGCAGCCGCGGUAAU